rnacentral:rRNA from 1 species
CUCAGGACGAACGCUGGCGGCGUGCCUAAUACAUGCAAGUCGAGCGGAUCGAUGGGAGCUUGCUCCCUGAGAUCAGCGGCGGACGGGUGAGUAACACGUGGGUAACCUGCCUGUAAGACUGGGAUAACUCCGGGAAACCGGGGCUAAUACCGGAUAACACCUACCCCCGCAUGGGGGAAGGUUGAAAGGUGGCUUCGGCUAUCACUUACAGAUGGACCCGCGGCGCAUUAGCUAGUUGGUGAGGUAAUGGCUCACCAAGGCGACGAUGCGUAGCCGACCUGAGAGGGUGAUCGGCCACACUGGGACUGAGACACGGCCCAGACUCCUACGGGAGGCAGCAGUAGGGAAUCUUCCGCAAUGGACGAAAGUCUGACGGAGCAACGCCGCGUGAGUGAAGAAGGUUUUCGGAUCGUAAAACUCUGUUGUUAGGGAAGAACAAGUGCCGUUCGGAAUAGGGCGGCGCCUUGACGGUACCUAACCAGAAGCC